rnacentral:lncRNA from 12 species
AUGGGGGAGGAGGGGAGGACCGGGGAGCAGGGCCGAAGCUGUCGGCCCCCCGCCCCGUGUGCCCUUGGCUGCCCGGCCUGCACCUGUCUGGGCUGUGGGAGGCCCGGGGACAAGAGCCUGGAGGAACAGAGGCCCUGGGGGCACCUGGGAGGGGACGCCGGGGGAGCAGGGGCUGCCAGGCCUCCACGUCCCCUCUGUCGGACGGACGGAUGGACAGGAGGGCCAAAGCCCUACCUGGAGCUGCUGGGAGGGGGCAGGGGAAAACUGGAAGCGGUGCCCUCCCCUCGCUCUCCUCCCCCCGCCCCGUUCCCUCCCCUUCUCUCCUCCCCCCUCCAUUUUCUGGUCGCCCAGUUCCCGCCAGCAUCCAAGGGUCUCUUCUUCCCCGCAAAGAUCCGCCCUCUGCUUUUAAACGAGGACAGAAGGCAGUUUCCAAAACUCACAUACAGAAUAAAAAAGCCCUUUUGGAAACGGCAGAAGCCAAAACACGACGCUCCCCCAGUUCAGGCGAGAGGCUGCAGGCAGCCGUCUCCCAGCGUCUCUGCUCCGUGGAGCCGAGGUUCCUGCAGACCCUCAGCCACCGGCAGCUUCGGUCCCGUCCCCACCCCGGGGACAGCCAAGGCACCACGGGAGAUCCCCGCUGCCUCCCCAGGCGCCCUGCGCAGGGACGUGGGUCAGUGGAACACGGAGAAGUAUGGGGAGGGCUCAGGCCGCGGCCCCAGGACCUGGCAGGCCGGCCUCUCCUCACGGGCCUCCCAGGGCCCCAGGGCAGGAGGGGCGGGGGCGGGUGACGAGGCAGCAGGAGCCGGGAGGGCGGGGGUUCUUCACCGGUUUCUGUGGGUUUGCUUAAUCCCACGCCAUUCUCCAUUCGCAGGCUUCCGAGGAAGGCGGAGGGGAGAGAAGGGGGAGGGGGUCUCAGCCCACGUCCCGCCCCCAGGAAGACACCUGACCCGUCUCCAAGUUGCCGGCCCGUGGCGAGAGGGGCCUUUGUGCGCGUGAAGGCGGCUGCCUGGGACCCGGAGCCCUGAGCCACCCCGGCUGCGCCGCCUCCCUGCGCCCUUCACGCCCAGCCGAGGAGCUCGCAAAUAAAUCCACAGACACAAAAUCUUGUGUGCCGGGG